rnacentral:rRNA from 1 species
UACGUAGGGGGCAAGCGUUGUCCGGAAUCACUGGGCGUAAAGCGCGCGCAGGCGGUCAUCUACGUCUGGGGUGAAAGCCCGGAGCUCAACUCCGGGAUUGCCUUGGAUACGGGAUGACUUGAGGAUCGGAGAGGCAAGGGGAAUUCCACGUGUAGCGGUGAAAUGCGUAGAGAUGUGGAGGACACCUGUGGCGAAGGCGCCUUGCUGGCCGAUUUCUGACGCUGAGGCGCGAAAGCGUGGGGAGCAAACAGG